GGUGAGUUCUGGGCCAGCCCAGCCUGGAGGAGGUGUGAGAGGCUGAGCCACUGCUCAGCUUAGCGGGGGGACCACUUAGUGACCAACACCCUGAGGGAGGCCCCAGCAUCCCCCACCUAGCCUGGCAGCAGCAGCGGGAUAAAUAGGGGGGCACUGCUGCCUGUGAGCCAGCCCAGCAUAGCCAUGGGUGUGUGGGGGAAGCAGACAGAGACAGGGUCUUGCUCUGCUGUCCAGGCUGGAAUGCUUCGGUGUGAUGACAGCUCCCGUUAACGUCGAAUUCCUGGGCUCAAGUGAUCCUCCCACUUCCGCCUCCUGACUUGCUGAAACUACAGGCACCUGCCUCCACCGCCAGGCCCAGCCCACAGCUCCUUUGACCUCAGUGACAGGCACUCACCUACCUGACCCCCAAACUGAAGCCUCACCUUUCCCAGCCGUCUCCACACCCUCUGGGCUACCCCAUUACCAUGACAAGUAUUCCCUCUGCUCCAGGAGAAAAGCGAGGUCCCAGACCUGACCCAUAAAACCCAAUCAUUCCA
rnacentral:antisense_RNA from 1 species